rnacentral:lncRNA from 1 species
CCCCCGCAGGAAGCAACUGGACAUUUCCUCUGCACAUUGUCUUUUGCAAAGAUACAAGGAGGCUUAAGCCUGACAGACGCACCUCCUGCCAUCCUGCACUCCCACCCUGGUCGGCGAUGCCCUGAGGGAAGGGACCGUCGCUCUGCAUGUCUGUGCUUACUCACCCCACCCACACGUGGGGCCUGUGAUUCCCACGUCCCCCUGGAGGAAACUGCCUCUUUGGUGAGUAAGAUAAGAUUCCAGUUGGUUGGCAUCACGUGGGGCGUUCCUGCCCUUUGUGUUCAUAUAUGCUUUAGUGUCAUGGUUCCUGCUGGUCUAGAGAAAAAGUUUAGAAGUAAAACACAGAACCUGGGGUAGCCCCAGACCCACCAUUUUUUAAAGAAAAACUGGUGCGAGAACUUGUUUUUCAAACUAGAAAAUGCCGUACAAAUAAAGAGAGGUGAACGCAGAACUACUGGUUGUCG